CAGUCGCCGCGGGAAUACGUAGGGUGCAAGCGUUAAUCGGAAUUACUGGGCGUAAAGCGUGCGCAGGCGGUUAUAUAAGACAGAUGUGAAAUCCCCGGGCUCAACCUGGGAACUGCAUUUGUGACUGUAUAGCUGGAGUACGGCAGAGGGGGAUGGAAUUCCGCGUGUAGCAGUGAAAUGCGUAGAUAUGCGGAGGAACACCGAUGGCGAAGGCAAUCCCCUGGGCCUGUACUGACGCUCAUGCACGAAAGCGUGGGGAGCAAACAGGAUUAGAUACCCGAGUAGUCCCUGUCUCUUAUAA
rnacentral:rRNA from 1 species